rnacentral:rRNA from 1 species
GUCUACAGCCAUGCCACCCUGAACAUGCCCGGUCUCAUCUGAUCUCAGAAGCUAAGCAGGGCUGGGCCUGGUUAGUACUUAGAUGGAAGACCACCUAGGAAUACCAGGUGCUGUAGGCG